GCUGCCUUAGCUCAGCCGGUAGAGCAACCGCCUUGUAAGCGGUAGGUCGUCAGUUCGAUUCUGACAGGCAGCU
rnacentral:tRNA from 1 species